UAUGAUCUGAAGUCAGGUGGGGAUUAACCCGCUGGAACUUAAAA
rnacentral:rRNA from 1 species